AGAAAUCCUACUGUCAGUGUUCCAGGGAACAUCCAUUCCUGUCAGUAACUCCAAGUCAAACAUGAUCUCAAUGUACUUGUAUUAGAACAGAACCUGGCACAUCUGUGGAAUUCCGAAACUAAAAGUUUUCCUCAAGCUUCCAAA